UUAACAAAAACAUGUCUUUUUGAGUUAUUUUUAAAGUCUGACCUGCCCACUGAAGUUAUUUAAAUGGCCGCAGUAUUCUAACUGUGCAAAGGUAGCAUAAUCAUUAGUCUUUUAAUUGAAGGCUGGUAUGAACGGUUGGACGAGGUAUAAGCUGUUUCAUAUAAAUUUAUAAUAGAAUUUUAUAUUUUAGUCAAAAAGCUAAAAUUUAAUUAAAAGACGAGAAGACCCUAUAAAUCUUUAUACUUUAUGUUGUUUAAAUUUUUUGGAUUAAUUUUAUUUUUAUAGUUUGAGGUAUUUUGUUGGGGUGAUAUUAAAAUUUAAUGAACUUUUAAUUAUUAAAAAUCAUUAAUUUAUGAAUUAUUGAUCCAUUAGUAGUGAUUAUAAGAUUAAGUUACUUUAGGGAUAACAGCGUAAUUUUUUUGGAGAGUUCAUAUCGAUAAAAAAGUUUGCGACCUCGAUGUUGGAUUAAGAUAUAUUUUUAGGUGUAGCCGCUUAAAUGUUAAGUCUGUUCGACUUUUAAAUUCUUACGUGAUCUGAGUUC
rnacentral:rRNA from 1 species